UUCGACGAGUCCCAAAUAGGACGAAAUGCGCAUCCUGGAU
rfam:Trichobilharzia regenti genome assembly, scaffold: TRE_scaffold0045410